GAUCAUCAGGCUUGGCAGCAAGUGCCUUUACCCUCCGCGUGCCAUCUUGCCAUCCCGCUGCUGAGUGUUUGAUAUGACAUUGCUGAUGAAAAUAAUCAUCACAACAGCAGUUCUCCCAGCAUUACUGAGAAAUGAUACUAUUUUUCUGAGGAGGAUGUUCAAGUAACUCAUCCAGUGCAGGAUCCUGCUUGAACUACUGCUCCUCCGUUACAUCAGACUCUGGCUGUUUAGACUACAGGAUGAAUUUGGAGUCUGUUUUGUGCUCCUGCCUCAAGAAGAAGGAUUGCCUGGAUUUAGAGGAGUGAAGAGUGCUGGAGAGAGCCCAAAGGGACAAACAAUCCCUAUGUGAGACUCAAGGACUGCCAGCAGCCUAUACAGCUACAUUACAUCUCAGCAGAACUUCUCUUCAAGUCCUCGCUACUCUGAACAAAAAGCUUACAGGCCACAUGGAGAAAAAAAGAUCUCCCCCCAGAAUUGUGGGCUUGCUGCUUUGCAGUGCUGGCGACCUAUUCCCUUUGACGAUCCCUAGGUGGAGAUGGGGCAUGAGGAUCCUCCAGGGGAAUAGCUCACCACCACUGGGCAACAGGCCUAGCCCAGAUUUCAGUGAGACGCUUUCCUGAACCCAGCAAGGAAGACAAAGGCUCAAAGAAUGCCACCCUACAUCAAAGUAGGAGAAAAGCUGCUGCAAUAGUGGCACUGACCUUCGAGGAAGCCAUUCUGCUCUAUUUGGUUCUCUCUCCAGAAGCUAGGAAAGCUUUGCCAGCUGUUUACAUACUUCAAGAUGCACUGCUACCCUACUCAUGCCAUAUAAUACACAAUGCCAUCUACCAAAUAUUACCCUUCCCCAAAGCAGCACAGAAAACUGGGUCUUCAGCGUGAUCAAGCAAUGUGAACACACAAAAGGAAGGCAGCUUUAUAAAUGACCCGAGGAUCAACAUGCCUGACUGCAGCAUCUUAAAAGCAAUAGAAUGAGUGUGUAUUGUGGGUGUGUCUAUUUCUUGUUUUAUGUAUCUAUUUUUUCCUUGGUCUGUGUGUCUAAUUCUUUGUUACAUCUAUUUCUUCCUUGCUUUGUGUGUCUAUUUCUUCCUUGCUUUGUGUGUCUAUUUCUUCCUUGCAUUAUGUCUAAUUCUUUGUUAUAUCUAUUUCUUCCUUGCUUUGUGUCUAUUUCUUCCUUGCAGUUGUGUCUAAUUCUUUGUUACAUCUAUUUCUUCCUUGCUUUGUGUGUCUAUUUCUUCCUUGCAUUGUGUCUAAUUCUUUGUUAUAUCUAUUUCUUCCUUGCUUUGUGUGUCUGUCUUCCUUGCUUUGUGUCUAUUUCUUCCUUGCAGUUGUGUCUAAUUCUUUGUUACAUCUAUUUCUUCCUUGCUUUUGUGUGUCUUUCUUUCUUGCUUUUGUGUGUCUAUUUCUUCCUUGCAGUUGUGUCUAAUUCUUUGUUACAUCUAUUUCUUCCUUGCUUUUGUGUGUCUAUUUCUUCCUUGCAUUGUGUCUAAUUCUUUGGUAUAUAUAUUUCUUCAUUGCUUUGUGUGUCUAUGUCUCCUUGUGUUGUCUAAUUCGUUGUUGCAUCUAUUUCUUCCUUGCUUUGUGUGUCUAUUUCUUCCUUGCUUUGUGUGUCUAUGUCUUCCUUGCUUUGUGUGUCUAUGUCUUCCUUGUUUUGUGUAUCUACUUCUUCCUUGUGUGUCUAAUUCUUUGUUACAUCUAUUUCUUCCUUCCUUUGCAUGUCUCCUUCUUUCCUUUGUGUGUCUUUUCUGUCUGCAGUGUGUCUUACCUAUUCCCAUGUUUCUCCUGCAUGUUCUUUCUUGCAGAGCUUUGAGCUUUGUUUCACUUUCUCUGGUGCCUGUGUGGUCUGCUUUGUCUUCACUAGCUAUGGCUCUCUGUUUUAUCUAUCUGGUUGCUAUUUCUCUUAGCUUUUCUUUCACUCCUGCCUUUCGUGACUCCCCUUUGGGUCACAUGUUGCAUGCAUCCCUCUCUUUUUCUUGUGCUCACCCCACUUGUUCUUUGUUCAAGUUCUCUUUGUCAGUCCAUUUCAGUUUUCUUUCUGCUGCUUCUAUCCUUAGUGAAUUCUUGUUUACAUUUCUUCCCUGCCUUUCUUGGGCCACUUUCUCUGUUUUCUUUUGUAUUUGUGUCUCUUUGCUAUUGGUGGAUUUCUUAUCUCAGCAUCAUUCUGUUGCUUUGUGUUUGCUUGUGUUUCUAUCUUCUACUUUCCUCCUUUCUGUUCACUUUGAGCAUUUCAUCUCUUUACAAGUCUGUGUCUCUCUUGUAUUCUAAAGUAAUCCUUUCUUGGAUGUUUCUUUGUAUGUACAUGUGCGUGUGUGCAUGUGUGUUAUGUGUGUCAUGUGUGAGAGGAGCUUCAUAGCCCCUUCCCAAUAGGUCCAGAAUGUCACCCGUGGAGCCGUUCCUCACACCAGACUGCCCUGAGAAAUAAUCUAAGACAAAAUACAUCAUUCCGUCCGGUCAGGAUUCAAGUGGCUCUGAAGUGAACGCCCAAGUAGAAGACAGAAGUUUUGCGACUUGAGAUUUAAAAGGACCAAAAUACACAGAUGGCCCGUCUUGAGCUGGCUGGACAGAAUGCUGACAACCCAAAGAAGAGGAACUGUUUCUACAGGACACCUGUGACUUCCAAGAGCGGGGAACUACGUAUGUCAUAAGACACAAAACCUGAGCUAAGUCCAAGCAUAAGACCUAAGGACCCAAUCCUAUAUGGACAGAAUAUUUAAGAGAUAAAGGCCUAUGGCCCAGAACUCUGGAAGGAUAUUUCUAUCCUUCUAUCCCCAAGACCAAGAAGGGAAAUUCGAAGAUGAGACCUGCCCCCCAACCCCAGCAUCCCUUUCCAUUUCUUAUAUUUCUAUUUAAGCUGUCUUCACUUGAGAUGUAAUUUUUCAUUGUUGCCAUUGCCCAUAAAGGAAUACGUUUUUAGCUGGAUAGUAUUGUGCAAGGGUCUGUUUUAAACUGGGUCUUAGCCAUUUGUUAAAUUGUUGAUGUUUUACAACUUCCAUUUCUCUUCACAUCUGCUCCACUUGAGACGGAACUAAAUCCAGCCAGUGUAUAUAGCCUGACUAUUGAAACUUCCCUAGGAAUAAGCAUGCAUACAGAUAUGCAUACUGCCAUCCUCCCUACCUCAGAAGCCCUAGGCUGACAAGAAAAGGAAAGCAUCAGGUUGUUAGGGGGAAAACAAUGUCAGGCUAUCUAGAGAAAAUAUAAAGAGUUGUUCCAGACCAAUGAGAAGAAUUAGACAAGCAAUAUGCAGAUGUGCCAACCCUCUGAGAAGCACCAGCCAGUGUCACCUUCUUUCUUUGGGCUUAGGUGAGCAGGGUAUGGUUUUCUAAUAAUGGUUUGGGGACAAAAUGAGGUCUGAACUCCCUGCUCAUAGUAGUGGCCGAGUAAUUUGGUGCAUUUCACCAAAGGAACUCCUGGGUCUAAUACCUACCUUUAAAAUUAAUGAUGAGAGACUCUAAGGACUACUUAACGGGCUUAAUCUUUUUCGUGCCUUCCUCUUCCUCUGUAAGAGGGAAGUUAAAUGACACAGGAUGAAAAAGUAACAUGCUCAUAGCACAUUGGCAAUUAUACAUGGUUAUUAUCUGAAAGUGUAGAGCUUUUCCUAUAAGGCAUCAGACUAAGUACCUGAAGCUUUGUGGGUUCAUGGUCUUAGUUGCAUAUUCCUUAGUUGCAAAUCCUUUUCAAAAGGUAAGAAAAAGGCACACUGGUCUAUUGCCUGUACUUGAUCAAGCCCUGAUAUGAAUGCCAGGGAAUGUCUGAGUAACAUUAAUUUCCUUCCCUGCAUAUUUUUUGUGCUGAAUACUAAGGCUGUGAUGCUUCACUGUGGUCACCCCCAGGUAACAAGAUAUUACCAGGUAACCAGGAAACGUAUGAAUACGUAAACCAUGAAGCCUACUGUAACUUCCAAGUCAGUGCUGAGUAUGUAUUACAUAGUAGCUGAAGUCUACGCCUCUGUGUGCUAUAGGCACAAAGAUUGCUCUAGGAAUAACAUGCUUUGUAAAAACAAAUAUAUGAACAUAACGGGGCUUGAAUGAAUAACAGUCCAUAUACUUAAGGCCAGUGUGUUUCUUCUGCUUUGGUGAGGCUCAGUAAGUUAUAUUAUACCAGGUAGCAGAAGAGAAAACACAUGGAAACUGAUUUUAAACUACAAACUAGGUCACUAAUGCAGGUGAUUGAUUACCCUAUUCUGAUCACCUUCUAAUUUCUGAAUACCCAUGUUCAGCACUGGGAAUAACAAAGGGGGACAUUACCACAGAACUAGAAUUUACAAAAGAAUGCAUUAAAUAAAGCAUUAUACAGCUAUCAAUUGUUCCAUGUGUGCAAAUGAAUGACUACUAACUACCUCUGAUGUAUCCGAUAUUGUUUUGGGUACAUGAAAUAUUCAUGAGUAACUGCCAUGAAAUAAGAAUGUUUGCAUUCCAUACUAUUCAUAAGGAAUGAGCCAAUGCUUAAUUUAAUCAGUCAAAACUUGAGUGAUAAGGGCAUGUUAAUACAAGAACAUUUGCCCAGGUCACAUUAUGGUUGUGGGUACUUUCUUAACUAUAAAGCAGUUCAGUAGUAUAAGACAAGACAAAUUUUCUAUAGAAAUAAAGCUGCCUAUAAAAUAGGCAUAGUCUCUACAAAAUUUUCAUUGUACUUUUUAGCCCAUAAUGGGAAGAGUACAGUUAACAAGCUGGGUGUGGUAGCAUGUGCUCUGAGCUGAAGCAACAGGACCACUUGAGCCCAGAAAUUGGAGGCUAGCCUGGGAAGACCAUAAGGUCAAUCUCAAACCUGGAGGCUAAAUAUUGUCUCCCAUGUGUAUAUUCUCUUUCAUGGGUACUGGAGAGAUACACAGACGUACAUUUCAGUGUGUCCACACUUGAGAAUAAUAUGUACGUUGGCAUUUUAUGAACUCGGAGGUACCAUAUAAAUGUAACAAUUCAUUUUCUUACUUGGUAUCAAUUUCCAGGCUUUUAAAAUUCUGCCACAUUUAUUAUACUGUGAAAAUAAAGUAAAUAAGUAACUGUGAACCACUGAAUAUAUGAAGCAUUCAAUACUUGAUGAGUACAUACUGAAUGGCAGUCAUUUAUUACAAAACAGUGCCCUUGCUAGGCACUGGGAUGCAAAGAGCAUUCUCAUUGUCCUGUGUAUCUAAAGAAAUUAUGCAUGAGAUUAAUUUAUAAUUUGUAAACUGCCAUAUAUAUGUGUAUAUAUGCAAUAUUUGCCUGGUGUGCAAUGACUUUGCUUUUAUCCCAGGCAUGCACAACAGAUCUGUGUGGAGCUUUGUGAAGUCUACAGUUCUAUAAAGCCGGGACCUAACUGUUGGCUUUAUCAGUGAACAGUGAUUACUUUCUAAGUUUCAUAAUGGCUGAAACUUAAUCAUAAUGCUUAUCACCUAACACCACCUAAUAAUAAUUUUACCAUGCUAUGUGUUGAGCGAACACAUAGAUUGCUUUCUAGCAUUAUGUAGCACUUAUAGGAGUGAAAUCUAGACCAAAACUUCAAUUCACUUCAAUGAGGAAAUG
rnacentral:misc_RNA from 1 species